rnacentral:rRNA from 1 species
UACGAGGGGGGCAAAUGUUGUUCGGAUUUACUGGGCGUAAAGCGCACGUAGGCGGACUGUUAAGUCGGGGGUGAAAUCCUGGGGCUCAACCUCAGAAUUGCCUCCGAUACUGGCAGUCUCGAGUGCGGGAGAGGUGAGUGGAAUUCCCAGUGUAGAGGUGAAAUUCGUAGAUAUUGGGAAGAACACCAGUGGCGAAGGCGGCUCACUGGCCCGUAACUGACGCUGAGGUGCGAAAGCGUGGGGAGCAAACAGG